AAAACAUCGAUUCGAUUUAAGAACAAAAUCGCAAAUCACAACCACAGACUCCUAAGUUUUCAUCUGGCUGCAACAACUAGCAAGAGAUGUGUAGUAGGUAAAGAAGGAAUUAAUCAGUGAUGCUCCAGGCCAAACCAGAGCAUGCAGAAGCACAAUGCCAAUGAACAAAUUGACAGGGAGAGGGAUCCAAAUCUCACUUUGACUUUUAGGGC
rnacentral:lncRNA from 1 species